rnacentral:snoRNA from 1 species
CACCUCUCAGGGUCACACCUGGAGAGUUUCCAAUACUCUACCAGUCUCAACUAAGGGAGGUAGAGUCAAGCAGAGGCAUAUCCCUUCUGUUCCUAGCUUGGGCAGUGGCUAGUGAGGGGAAGGCGAUCUGCUACAAGU